AAGUCGUAACAAGGUUUCCGUAGGUGAACCUGCGGAAGGAUCAUUAACACGUAUCCAACGUUAAACAACCCUGUGAACUUUAAGUCCCCUCUUGCAGCCCAUGAGGAACAGCAAUCCCAAUAAAUCAUUGCCAAACAGUUUUGAUUCGGGACCUCUGUCCAUGGAAGCAGUGGCAUGGCUUCCCCAAGCAGUUAGUGAAUGACAGUGUCACUGACUGUGUAAGGAUAACGCCUCACGGUUGCUAGAGGUCGAUCACCGACCGGCAGACAUGUCACAGGGUCACCACGCCCCUUAAUCACUCCACUUGAAAAUGCCCCGCCUAGUGGUAACGCGCUAGGUAAAAAAAACCGAACAACUGUUAACAAUGGAUAUCUUGGUUCUC
rnacentral:misc_RNA from 1 species